ACCUGAAAGAAAUAAAAAAUCAGCUUUAUUUCUUAUACAGAUGAUUAGCGUCGGUUAAUUUACGCCUUUUUGCGCCUAUAAAACAUUGAAUGGGAGGCUAAUUAAUGCACGAUCACACCUCGCAAAAAACAUAAAUAGCUGCGUUAUGCUUGGGUUCAUAUACAAAUCGCCAGCUCAUUUUCCUCUUAGAAAACAUCUGCAAAUACCCCACUAUGGUUAAGAUUGGACAGCUUUUAACCAUCCUGGUUAUUCUAGUGACUGUCUUUGCCACUGGAUUAGCGUCGCCUGCUCCACAACGAAUCAACUUUGAAGUUGGGCAAAAACACAUUCCUAUCAUCGGCAUAGCCACUGGAAGGGUGGAACUGGCAGUUACAGGAGCCACAACGGGCCACAAGACCAGGAAACCAUGAUGCUGAACUAGACAAAGAGAAGCCAAUUUUGCACAAGAAAAAAAUAUUAAUUUGUACCACAAUAUGUUACAUUGUGUAAAAAUACAUGACUAAAAAAACAAAA
rnacentral:lncRNA from 1 species